rnacentral:rRNA from 1 species
AUGAACGCUGGCGGCGUGCCUAAUACAUGCAAGUAGAACGCUGAGGCUUGGUGCUUGCACCGAGCGGAUGAGUUGCGAACGGGUGAGUAACGCGUAGGUAACCUGCCUCUUAGCGGGGGAUAACUAUUGGAAACGAUAGCUAAUACCGCAUAAAAGUCGAUAUCGCAUGAUAUUGAUUUGAAAGGUGCAAAUGCAUCACUAAGAGAUGGACCUGCGUUGUAUUAGCUAGUUGGUGAGGUAACGGCUCACCAAGGCGACGAUACAUAGCCGACCUGAGAGGGUGAUCGGCCACACUGGGACUGAGACACGGCCCAGACUCCUACGGGAGGCAGCAGCAGGGAAUCUUCGGCAAUGGGGGCAACCCUGACCGAGCAACGCCGCGUGAGUGAAGAAGGUUUUCGGAUCGUAAAGCUCUGUUGUAAGAGAAGAACGAGUGUGAGAGUGGAAAGUUCACACUGUGACGGUAACUUACCAGAAAGGGACGGCUAACUACGUG